UACGUAGGAGGCAAGCGUUGUCCGGAAUCACUGGGCGUAAAGCGCGUGUAGGCGGAUCGCUAAGUCUGUGGUGAAAGCGCCUGGCUUAACCGGGCGAGUCCAUGGAAACUAGCGGUCUGGAGGCCGGUAGAGGGGGUGGAAUUCCGGGUGUAGUGGUGAAAUGCGUAGAGAUCCGGAGGAACACCAGUGGCGAAGGCGGCCCCUGGGCCGCGCCUGACGCUGAGACGCGAAAGCGCGGGGAGCGAACGGG
rnacentral:rRNA from 1 species